CCUAGUCCCUGAGACCCUAACUUGUGAGGUAUUUUGGUAACAUCACAAGUCAGGCUCUUGGGACCUAGGC
ensembl:miRNA microRNA 125b-2